UUAGCGCCGAGGAAGAACAGAGAGAAGCAGGCUAAGUUGGAAAAACGAGAUCCAACGCGCCCAGAAGCGGCUUAAGUGUAAAAACACUAUCAUUCGGGGGUUUUUGAAUGCCGCCAUUUUCAGAAGGAGUUGUUUUUUUUUUCUCCUUGGAAACUCCGUUUUUGAGACCCUGGAUUGUAGCUUAGAGGUCAACUCUUCGCUGGAUGCAAAUGUUGAGCCAGUCCCAGAGAUGAUGCACCCUAUACGAUGAGAUCGGACCGCGGUGUGGCCAGCUGCUUCGGAUCCCAUUCAACAGGACUGACACAUCAGAUUACAGGACACUGGCAGAUAAGAAAGAUCCACCACACGUCCAUUAUCCUGCCCAGGAAGAACAUGAGGUACACAUGAGAUGCCGUCUGACCCUCCGAGCCCUCGCAACGAACCUGCUAGAGGAAGACUGACUUCUUCAAAAUCUGCAAUGUUCCUCCUUGUUUUAGACCACUGCUCCCGGUCGAGGCAGAUGGCCGCCCACCCUGAGCCAUGGUUCUGCUCGAGGUUUCUGCCUCUUAAAAGGAAGUUUUUCCUUGCCUCUGUCGCCUAGUGCAUUUUAUCAUAGUUAUUUUCUGUUUUACAUUUCCUUUCAGCAGUUUCAGUCCCAAUUUGUUUGUUCUUGCUUAUUAAAAAUACAUUUUGGUAUAUUUUGAAACACCCCCUACCUCAUCAGUAAUGUUCCUGUGUGCCUUUUUGUCUUUAUUCUCCUUCAAAUAAUCUAGGUUUAAAUAAUAUUUCCUGGGGUGGAAUUCCCUAGGUGCUGUAGGUUGGCUUUCAUUCAAUUCCCCCCUUCCUGGUCCACCUUGCCACACAAACAAGGCACAACUUUAGUAGUUAUGAAUGUUACAAAAACAUAGUAGGAAACUUCUGGGGGAUAAUAUUAUAGGUUAAGAACAGUUUAGUCACCAAUAUCUAAUCAGUUAUCAGUCAAGGAAACUCUUCAGCUACAUUCCAAGUUGUAUUAUCUGCCCAUGUCACAUCUCCAUAUUUUACUACUGUGGCUCAGCUAAAAUCAUUAGUAAAUAGUUUACUGUUACAGCAAGCAGAACAACUUAAACAGAUUAAGACCCCCCCCAUUGUUUUGUCAGAUUGUUUUGUCAGAUUGUUUUGUGUUACGUCAUUGUAACCUCCCUGCCCCACACUCUGUACAGAAGACACAAGACUGGUUGGCAUGCAGUGAUUCUUACUCAACGAUGCCCUCUGCUGGAGAAAUCUGUUGCCAAGUCAGUGUUGGAAAAUGGUGCACAUGCUCAUCAAAGGCAUAUAUUGUGACCGCAUGGAUGAAUAUAAUUCCAUUCAGUAUUUAUUUAUAAUAUCAGUAUUUUAAGAAAACAACCUUGGUACACUGUAUGAAUGUGGUUAAUAGCCAUAUUUAUCUACAGUGGCUCGUGCUGGCACCUAAAUGGGUUACAAGCAUGGUCACGAGUAUUUAUUCUUUUAUAAGCCCUAGCAGUAGUGGAAUGUAACUAGGUUUACUUUUUUAGGCACUUUACUCAAGUACGAAUUUGAUGUACUUCAUUUUUCUAUUUAAGGCCACACUAUAGUUGUACUCCACCACAUUUCAGGCUGAAAUACUGUAGUUUUAACACCACUAAAUGUAUAUGACAGCUACAGUUAACUGUUUUUGCAGAUUAAUAUGUUACAUAAGGACAUAACAUCAGUUUAUAAAAUGUGAUGCAUCAUUAUAGAAUAAGUACCCGAUCAAUAAAUUAGUUCAAAUUAGCUUUACCACCAGCAGCUGCAACAUACAGAUGCAUCGGUAAUCCAGUAAUAUGUAUUAUAGGAUGAUAUUUAAUAAACUUUAUAAUAUACUGUAUAAUACUUACACAUAUAUAUUUAUUUAUUAUAAGCCGUUUGUCUGCAUAGGGAACACUUUGUGUACAUUUUGCGACUGUUAUUUUAAUGCUUUUACUUAAAUAAAAUUAA